rnacentral:misc_RNA from 1 species
GUAGGUGAACCUGCGGAAGGAUCAUUAACACGUAUUCAACGUUAAACAACCCUGUGAACCUUGAACGUGCUCUCGUACACGCUCUAGCAGCAAUCCCUGGUAAAUCAUUGUUGACCAGCUAUUGAGUCUGGGACUUCUGCUGAAAACCAUACGAUACGAGCGCCAGAGUAAGUGCGGCCUGGCAUCGCAAGGAUGGCGCAGUAAACGAUCGCUGUAGGCCCACACGGCCGGCGACCGGGCCUCUGUGCUUCGGCACCUAAUGACACCAGUUUUCUGACCCGGUGCGCUGUAACAACCGCACCACAAACUCGAACAACUGUUAACAAUGGAUAUCUUGGUUCUU